AUUGAACGCUGGCGGCAUGCUUUACACAUGCAAGUCGAACGGCAGCGCGGGCUUCGGCCUGGCGGCGAGUGGCGAACGGGUGAGUAAUGCAUCGGAACGUGCCCAGUAGUGGGGGAUAGCCCGGCGAAAGCCGGAUUAAUACCGCAUACGACCUGAGGGUGAAAGCGGGGGACCGAAAGGCCUCGCGCUAUUUGAGCGGCCGAUGUCGGAUUAGCUAGUUGGUGGGGUAAAGGCUUACCAAGGCGACGAUCCGUAGCUGGUCUGAGAGGACGACCAGCCACACUGGGACUGAGACACGGCCCAGACUCCUACGGGAGGCAGAAGUGGGGAAUUUUGGACAAUGGGGGCAACCCUGAUCCAGCCAUGCCGCGUGCGGGAAGAAGGCCUUCGGGUUGUAAACCGCUUUUGUUCGGGAAGAAAUCCUCUGGGCUAAUACCCCGGGGGGAUGACGGUACCGGAAGAAUAAGCACCGGCUAACUACGUG
rnacentral:rRNA from 1 species